rnacentral:rRNA from 1 species
GACGAACGCUGGCGGCGUGCUUAACACAUGCAAGUCGAGCGAUGAAGCUUCUUCGGAAGUGGAUUAGCGGCGGACGGGUGAGUAACACGUGGGUAACCUGCCUCAUAGAGGGGAAUAGCCUUCCGAAAGGAAGAUUGAUACCGCAUAAGAUUGUAAUAUCGCAUGAUAUAGCAAUUAAAGGAGUAAGCCGCUAUGAGAUGGACCCGCGUCGCAUUAGCUAGUUGGUGAGGUAACGGCUCACCAAAGCGACGAUGCGUAGCCGACCUGAGAGGGUGAUCGGCCACAUUGGGACUGAGACACGGCCCAGACUCCUACGGGAGGCAGCAGUGGGGAAUAUUGCACAAUGGGGGAAACCCUGAUGCAGCAACGCCGCGUGAGUGAUGACGGUCUUCGGAUUGUAAACCUCUUUCAGCGGGGACGAAGCGAAAGUGACGGUACCCGCAGAAGAAGGACCGGCCAACUACGUGCCAGCCGCCGCCGUAA